CUUGUUCCUCCUGUUUUAUUUCUGGUUCCUCGUGUUUUAUUCUCAAGGAUUCUUUUUCUUCGUGUUUUAUUCUCCAGGUUUCUGGUUCCUCGUGUUUUAUUCUCCAGGUUUCUGGUUCCUCGUAUUUUAUUCUGCAGGUUUCUGUUUCCUCGUGUUUUAUUCUCCAGGUUUCUGGUUCCUCGUGUUUUAUUUCUGGUUCCUCGUGUUUUAUUGUGCUGGAUUCUUUUUCCUCGUGUUUUAUUUUGCAGGUUUCUGGAUCUUCGUGUUUUAUUCUCAACCUUUCUGGUUCCUCGUCUUUUAUUGUGCAGGUUUCUGGUUCCUCGUGUUUUAUUGU